rnacentral:rRNA from 1 species
CCUACGGGAGGCAGCAGUGGGGAAUAUUGCGCAAUGGGCGAAAGCCUGACGCAGCGAAGCCGCGUGAGGGAUGAAGGUCUUCGGAUCGUAAACCUCUGUCAGCAGGGAAGAACGGUCACUGUGCUAAUCAGCAGUGAAUAGACGGUACCUGCAAAGGAAGCACCGGCUAACUCCGUGCAAGCAGCCGAGGUAAUACGGUGGGUGCGAGCGUUAAUCGGAAUUACUGGGGGUAAAGCGCUCGUAGGCGGUAUGUCAAGUCAAGGGUGAAAUCCCCGCGCUUAACGUGGGAACUGCCUUUGAAACUGGCAACCUUGAGUGUGUGAGAGGAUAGUGGAAUUCCAGGUGUAGGAGUGAAAUCCGUAGAUAUCUGGAGGAACAUCAGUGGCGAAGGCGACUAUCUGGCACAUAACUGACGCUGAGGAGCGAAAGCGUGGGUAGCAAACAGGAUUAGAUACCCUGGUAGUC